rnacentral:rRNA from 1 species
CACGAACCGGGCAAACGUUAUUCGGAAUUACUGGGCUUAAAGGGUGCGUAGGCUGCGCUAUAAGUCGGGUGUGAAAUCCCUCAGCUCAACUGAGGAACUGCGCCCGAUACUGUAGUGCUUGAGGAGGAUAGAGGUGAGCGGAACUAGCAGUGGAGCGGUGAAAUGCGUUGAUAUUGCUGGGAACACCCGUGGCGAAAGCGGCCCACUGGGUCCUAUCUGACGCUGAGGCACGAAAGCCAGGGGAGCGAACGGG